rnacentral:rRNA from 1 species
UACGUAGGGUGCGAGCGUUGUCCGGAAUUAUUGGGCGUAAAGAGCUCGUAGGCGGUCUGUCGCGUCGGUCGUGAAAACUUGGGGCUUAACCCUGAGCUUGCGGUCGAUACGGGCAUGACUGGAGUUCGGCAGGGGAGACUGGAAUUCCUGGUGUAGCGGUGAAAUGCGCAGAUAUCAGGAAGAACACCCGUGGCGAAGGCGGCUCUCUGGAACGCAACUGACGCUGAGACGCGAAAGCGUGGGGAGCAAACAGG